UUAACCUUGGUUUUCUCUUCUGAAAUAUGGAAAUAUGGGACCUCAAGGUGACUGUGAACCAUAAAUGGAAUAAUGGAAGAUAAAAUGAUUUUAAGCUGCAACACAAUAUUCUGAUGAAAGAACGGUGAUGCUGGAGAGAUUAUUUUAGGUGCUGAGGCAUCGUACAAUUGUGUUAUCAAGAAUCAUGGAUUUCAGUAGAAAAUGCCUUGAGUAAGAAUUCAGCUGACAAGGUGGAAACCAGAGCAGGAAAGAUGAUGUGAAAGAACCAUAAGAAAACAGCACAUUUCUUCAAGACUGAGUUUGGUGCUUGUUUGAUACCCUUGAAAGUGGUGCUCAACCCUGGUAGUCAUUAUUGGAUGGUUAGAGCCAGCCAAAAUGAGACCAAUACUGAGAAGAGCCCUGGAGGACUUACUGUUUACACCAAUCAACUCGGUCUCCUCCAUCCUUGUCCAUGCCAGCACGCCACACUCACAUCAUGUCCAGCAUGGCCUUUGAGGAAAGAUCUGCAUCCAUUUGGAGAUUUGCUUUUAUGAUUCUGAUGCCCAAAACUCUUUAUGGCUACCAUGAAUGUUAUAGUUAAUAUUAA